rnacentral:pre_miRNA from 1 species
UAGCUACUCCCUCCGUCCGGAAAUACUUGUCAUCAAAAUGAAUAAAAGGGAAUGUAUCUAGAUGUAUUUUAGUUCUAGAUACAUCCAUUUUUGUCCAUUUUGAUGACAACUAUUUUCAGACGGAGGGAGUAUCAA